rnacentral:rRNA from 1 species
UACGUAGGGGGCAAGCGUUGUCCGGAUUUAUUGGGCGUAAAGAGCGUGUAGGCGGCCAUACAGGUCCGUUGUGAAAACUGGAGGCUUAACCUCCAGACGUCGAUGGAAACCGUAUGGCUAGAGUCCGGAAGAGGAGAGUGGAAAUUCCUGGUGUAGCGGUGAAAUGCGCAGAUAUCAGGAAGAACACCCGUGGCGAAGGCGGCUCUCUGGGACGGUACUGACGCUGAGACGCGAAAGCGUGGGGAGCGAACAGG